rnacentral:tRNA from 1 species
GGUUGAGUAGUGUAAUGGUUAGCACUCAAGACUCUGAAUCUUGCAAUCCGAGUUCGACCCUCGGCUCGACCU